AACGAACGCUGGCGGCAUGCCUAACACAUGCGAGUCGAACGAGACCUUCGGGUCUAGUGGCGCACGGGUGCGUAACGCGUGGGAACCUGCCCUUAGGUUCGGAAUAACUCCCCGAAAGGGGUGCUAAUACCGGAUAAUGUCUUCGGACCAAAGAUUUAUCGCCUUUGGAUGGGCCCGCGUUGGAUUAGCUAGUUGGUAGGGUAAAAGCCUACCAAGGCGACGAUCCAUAGCUGGUCUGAGAGGAUGAUCAGCCACACUGGGACUGAGACACGGCCCAGACUCCUACGGGAGGCAGCAGUGGGGAAUAUUGGACAAUGGGCGAAAGCCUGAUCCAGCAAUGCCGCGUGAGUGAUGAAGGCCUUAGGGUUGCAAAGCUCUUUUACCCGGGAUGAUAAUGACAGUACCGGGAGAAUAAGCGCCGGCUAACUCCGUG
rnacentral:rRNA from 1 species